AGUGAACGCUGGCGGUAGGCCUAACACAUGCAAGUCGAACGGCAGCACCGUAAGAGCUUGCUCUUACGGGUGGCGAGUGGCGGACGGGUGAGGAAUACAUCGGAAUCUACUUUUUCGUGGGGGAUAACGUAGGGAAACUUACGCUAAUACCGCAUACGACCUACGGGUGAAAGCAGGGGAUCUUCGGACCUUGCGCGAUUGAAUGAGCCGAUGUCGGAUUAGCUAGUUGGCGGGGUAAAGGCCCACCAAGGCGACGAUCCGUAGCUGGUCUGAGAGGAUGAUCAGCCACACUGGAACUGAGACACGGUCCAGACUCCUACGGGAGGCAGCAGUGGGGAAUAUUGGGCAAUGGGCGCAAGCCUGAUCCAGCCAUACCGCGUGGGUGAAGAAGGCCUUCGGAUUGUAAAGCCCUUUUGUUGGGAAAGAAAAGCAGCAGGUUAAUACCCCGCUGUUCUGACGGUACCCAAAGAAUAAGCACCGGCUAACUUCGUG
rnacentral:rRNA from 1 species